UACGUAGGGUGCAAGCGUUUAAUCGGAAUUACUGGGCGUAAAGCGUGCGCAGGCGGUUCGUUGUGUCGGCGGUGAAAGCCCCCGGGCUUAACCUGGGAAUGGCCGUUGAAACUGGCGAACUGGAGUGUGGCAGAGGGGGGGUGGAAUUCCGCGUGUAGCAGUGAAAAUGCGUAGAGAUGCGGAGGAACACCGAUGGCGAAGGCAGCCCCCCUGGGCUAACACUGACGCUCAGGCACGAAAGCGUGGGGAGCAAACAGG
rnacentral:rRNA from 1 species